rnacentral:rRNA from 1 species
UACGAAGGGUGCAAGCGUUACUCGGAAUUACUGGGCGUAAAGGGCUCGUAGGCGGCCAACUAAGUCAGACGUGAAAUCCCUCGGCUUAAUCGGGGAACUGCGUCUGAUACUGGAUGGCUAGAGUGUGGGAGAGGGAUGCGGAAUUCCAGGUGUAGCGGUGAAAUGCGUAGAUAUCUGGAGGAACACCGGUGGCGAAGGCGGCAUCCUGGACCACGACUGACGCUGAGUGAGCGAAAGCCAGGGGAGCAAGCGGG